rfam:Aedes aegypti strain Liverpool supercont1.243 genomic scaffold, whole genome shotgun sequence.
GGCUCGGUAGCUUAGUUGGUAAAGCGCUCGUCUAGCAUACAAGGGUCCUGGGUUCAAAUCCCAGCCGAGCAC